ensembl:lncRNA
AAUCGUUAUAUGUGUGUUGUGCAGAGUUGUUGUUGCUUAUGAAAAACAUUACAAAUCAGUCACUUUUGAAGUAUGGCAGCUCACCAGAUUUUGGACCAAGCCAAUAUUUUGGAGUUGGAUAAGUGAUCUUCUGUCUCACUGUAACACCCGCGAAGAAUGCACGGAAGGAAAUAAUUUGGUUUCACAGCUACUUCUAUGUAUGUGUGGGCCGGAUCAGAAGACUACGUUCGCUCAGGAGUCAGGAUUGCAGCAGGAGAAAGAACACAACAACAACUUCUGGAAAAGAAAACUCAACAGAAAGUAAACAACAAAAAUGCACAGUGUGAUGAACAACUUCCAGAUUCUAUGAAAUGGGAUGGCUCGCCAGUUUCUGCAACCGUGUGUCUCUCUCUCUCUCUCGAUGGACAGCAGAAACAAUUCUCCCAAACGUCAACAAAACUCCAGAUCCAGAAUCAGCAUUGCAAGAGAAAUAGUGAGUAAACAGAACAAUCCCGGAUGGAAAAAUAAAAAUCUCUCUUUUGGUUUCUCUCGAGUGAAUUAACUUUUUUCUGUUUCCUAUUUUCUUCAGAUCCAGUGCAAUCGCGAUCGUCUAAUGUAAGCACCACUUUACUGCUAACGAGCGAACACUGUUCUCAUAUUUCAAAACACUUCUCUUACAGAUCGACUUAACUUAAAACACUUUAAAUCUCUGUUCAAAAGCUGUUUUUGCUAAAUCGCCAUGUCUCCGCUUCUCACCGUUCUCUCCCUUUUUCUGUUUGUCCUCCUCAGUCCCCUUUUUCUGUUUUUUUUUUUUUUUUUGACGUCAACCUUGAGGGAGGGGUUACUCUUAAACGGCCAGUUUCUAAUUUUGCUUAUUUUCCUAGACAUUUUCUGUUAUUAACUAUUUCACUUAGUAUAAGUUGAGAAUUCGAUAUAUAAUAUGAAUAUGAAUAAAAUAAUGGGAUGAUAUUAAUAAAAUAGUCUUAUUUUAUUUACAUAUGUAGUAAUAUAUAUUUUUCUCUAUUCACAGGUGCUGGCUCUUGUAACCUGGGUUACAUCACUGUCAGUCACAAUCAGUUUGGGUAAUGUACAGUCAGAGUUAUACUACCUCUGAAACAGCUCAGCAUAAGCACCAGGACUCUUCCCACUCAGAGCUUCCCAAACCAGCUGCUGCCCUCUGUGAUCGGAAGCCAUUUCCUAUGGAGUUCAACAAAAUGCAUGAGUGUGACUGCUCAUAUCAUCCCUAUCGGCUA